rnacentral:lncRNA from 1 species
GCAAAGACAACACCAAGUGCUGGCUCCUCUCCAAAGAGAGGACUGUGUCGAGCCUGAGCGUCUACACAUGGAACGCUCUGGGGUGGUCCCGCUAAGGAUGUCAUGAAAAAGGACCUGCGUUCAGUUCCCAGAAUUAAGAUAAGGAUCUGGCUUUCUACACCAUCGCUCCCCAAAAAACAGCUAAGCAGCUUUCCCAACGUUGCCUACAGAAUACACAUCUGCUCUUGACAUUGUUCUGAGAUGUGUCUGGGCAAAUCAGAGCUGUGUCUAUGUUUACAUUAAACUGAAGUCUUUUGCUUG